rnacentral:rRNA from 1 species
GACACAGGGAGGUAGUGACAAGAAAUAACAAUACAGGGCUAAUGUCUUGUAAUUGGAAUGAUGGUGACCCAAACCCUCACCAGAGUAGCAAUUGGAGGGCAAGUCUGGUGCCAGCAGCCGCGGUAAUUCCAGCUCCAAUAGCGUAUAUUAAACUUGUUGCAGUUAAAAAGCUCGUAGUUGUAUUUUAGCGUUUCCGUCUUUGCCUGUAUUGGCGUUUUCGGGUUCGCUUUUGGGAUUUCCCUUUUUACUUUGAGAAAAUUAGAGUGUUUCAAGCAGACUUUUGUCUUGAAUACUUCAGCAUGGAAUAAUAGAGUAGGACUUUGGUUCUAUUUUGUUGGUUAUUGAACCUUAGUAAUGGUUAAUAGGAACGGUUGGGGGCAUUCGUAUUUAACUGUCAGAGGUGAAAUUCUUAG